rnacentral:rRNA from 1 species
AUUGAACGCUGGCGGCAGGCCUAACACAUGCAAGUCGAGCGGCAGCACAAGGGAGUUUACUCCUGAGGUGGCGAGCGGCGGACGGGUGAGUAAUGCCUAGGGAUCUGCCCAGUCGAGGGGGAUAACAGUUGGAAACGACUGCUAAUACCGCAUACGCCCUACGGGGGAAAGAGGGGGACCUUUAGGCCUCUCGCGAUCGGAUGAACCUAGGUGGGAUUGGCUAGUUGGUGUGGUAAUGGCUCACCAAGGCGACGAUCCCUAGCUGUUCUGAGAGGAUGAUCAGCCACACUGGGACUGAGACACGGCCCAGACUCCUACGGGAGGCAGCAGUGGGGAAUAUUGCACAAUGGGGGAAACCCUGAUGCAGCCAUGCCGCGUGUGUGAAGAAGGCCUUCGGGUUGUAAAGCACUUUCAGUAGGGAGGAAAGGGUGAGUCUUAAUACGGCUCAUUUGUGACGUUACCUACAGAAGAAGGACCGGCUAACUCCGUGCCAGCAGCCGCCGUAA